GUCAGGAACCCGCCGCUAAAUGCUUUGCAUUAUAGCGGGGGCAAGUAAGAAGCCCAAACGUGACCAGCCUAAGUCCCACGAGGACUACGUUACCUCUAAGUGUUAAAGUUCCUACCCUGGGAUGCGUUGCCAGUUCCAGGCUCUAGA
rnacentral:sRNA from 19 species